rnacentral:rRNA from 1 species
UGGGGAAUUUUGGACAAUGGACGCAAGUCUGAUCCAGCAAUGCCGCGUGCGGGAAGAAGGCCUUCGGGUUGUAAACCGCUUUUGUCAGGGAAGAAAUCUUCUGGGUUAAUACCUCGGGAGGAUGACGGUACCUGAAGAAUAAGCACCGGCUAACUACGUGCCAGCAGCCGCGGUAAUACGUAGGGUGCAAGCGUUAAUCGGAAUUACUGGGCGUAAAGCGUGCGCAGGCGGUUAUGCAAGACAGAUGUGAAAUCCCCGGGCUCAACCUGGGAACUGCAUUUGUGACUGCAUAGCUUGAGUGCGGCAGAGGGGGAUGGAAUUCCGCGUGUAGCAGUGAAAUGCGUAGAUAUGCGGAGGAACACCGAUGGCGAAGGCAAUCCCCUGGGCCUGCACUGACGCUCAUGCACGAAAGCGUGGGGAGCAAACAGGAUUAGAUACCCUGGUAGUCCACGCCCUAAACGAUGUCAACUGGUUGUUGGGAAGGUUCCUUCUCAGUAACGAAGCUAACGCGUGAAGUUGACCGCCUGGGGAGUACGGCCGCAAGGUUG